UACGUGGUUAAAGACGCAAAGCACAAAUAACACGCGAUGAACAGCACGAGCGAAGUGAUGCGAACGUCAGUAGGUUGUGCUUACUUUGUUCUUCGGUCUUAAAAACUACUAAAACUAUUGAAAAGUGAACUGAACUGGAAUGAAAACACAUGCACACUUUAUUAAUGUAAUACGACAGAAUUUCAGUAGUGUUUGUUGAACUUUAACAUGCUCUAAAAUACUUAAAUGAACCAAAUUUUGUUCUGUGAAAUGCAUCUAAUACGCCGAAAUACCACAAGAAGGACUUUUGAAUAUGAAUGUAACACUACAUCUAAUAAUAAUUCUACGAAAUGAUUAAUAUUCCUUUGAAAGACACUCCCAUUGUACUCCCAGAACCACUUGUGCCUUUCUCCUCCUCCUCCUCUUCCUCCUCCUCCUCCUUUCGUCGUCUCUCGCACCGUCUCCGUGGCAACGGCUCAGUUCGUCACAGCCUCGUCGGCCCGAGGCUCUUAUUCUCCUGCUGGUCACCCGAUAUCCAGGAAACCUGCUUACAGCAUAUUGAAGUAGAUCUCUUUCUUCACUGUGAUUCCUCUAAUGAUGUUAACUGUUGCUCAAACAUGAACGAGUCCCUGUUUCCUUCAGUAAGCACAUUAGUGAAAUUUUACUCUAUCGCAAGCACAGAUCCCGAACUGCACUACAAUCACAUCACCUUGAAGAACAGGCUAGCGAUCAAUCCACUGCUAAUGCUUGUGUAUUUUAAAAUGAACUCGCUUCGAGUCACUCAGGUUAUUGCAGGUCAUGUCCGAGAGACGGCCAAAUGCUCAAGCUGUUUGCAGAGAAGAAAAGCUACAAGAGCAGAAAUGAAAAGAAGAAAGGAUGACGAGGGAGAAGUGGAUGACGUCUGUUUCUAAGCAGUUAUACCAAAAAAUGUCAUCGAGGUCGACAGCGAGGACGAAGGCGGCGGAGACGUCGCUUUGCUUUUCUUCCAACAUUCCAGCACAUGAGAAAAGUGUCUGAAAGGCAAACGACUGCUGGAAAACAAACAAAGAACAGAGCAAACCACAUAUUUGGCCAUUAAACAGAAACACUUCUACACAGCUAGCCAAAACACACAGCUUCAGACUGGGGCUUUUUUUUUUUCUUCCUCCCCAAACCUGAAUUUCUCUGAUAAAAAACCGGAACAGCACAAGGUGUAAAGUACACGACGUGAUCUGCUGACGGUCCAAAACAAAACAAGAUAAAUGCCGCGAUUCAGGCUGGAUCAUGGCAAAGGUUUUCUUAGGUCAGAGGCACAAUGAGCAGAAUAUUGCUGUAGUAACACUCCUGAAAUCAACACCGCAGAAAUCUAAGGAGACUUAAUCACAAGCAAUGAAAAGAACAUCACGCAAUAUGUUCGGAUAUUAAUCCGGAUAGCGAGAGAUCGCUUUCUCGUUCCUUUCUGUAGUCGCUCGCGUAAAGCUUGAGCUGGCUACAGACCAAAAUAUAGCAAUACCUCCAAGUCAUAAAACAAAUCGGGCAACACACGGCCCUGACCUAUAAUUAGAGAGCAGGAGUCACUGAAAAUCUGAUUCAUGGAAACCAAAAGCUCUCUGUAAUUUGAGUUUAGCUUGGCCUCUGGAGGCUGCCCUGCUGACCACAUUUGAGGUGCUAAAUCUGUAGGUGUGGAGAUGCCAAAGCCCCGAGUCUGACGGUUGGAAAGGCAGGUCGAAAGGCAGCGUGCGAUUCGCGCCAGACUACUAAGUGACAUGCUGCAAUAUCAGCCCAAAACACACACACAAAAAGAAACACACAAACACAACCACACAACUGUCACAAAGAUUACAUGACUGUUAACCACAAGCCUUCUGCAACCCAAGUCUUCUGAUUUCAGUCUUACACUAGAAACAAGCUCGAGAGCACGAUGGAAAUUCCCCACUGAGUCUGAAAGUAACACCUCAGGGGAAAAAUAGCAAGGAAACAUUAUAUGCAUGAGCCAAAUAAAUUCAUCAAGGAACCUUUAAAUCUAUAAUGAAUGACAGUAGGAGUAAAAAAAAAAAGCUUAAGCGAUAACAAAGAGGAAGCAUAAGUUAUGUAUAAUGGAUAGUGAGCAAAUAAGGUCAGGCCUCUUCACUUUCAUCCCCCACCUUGUACCCUACAUUCACAAGAGCCCCAUUAUUCACAACAGCUCAUUAAAUGUGCAAUGUUUUUUUUAAAAAAAAAAAAAAAGCAGCGUUAGGGCUCCAAAGUGUCUGUCUGGCUCUUACAUAAAGAGCGGCACAAUUACACGAGGCUUCCUCUCUCGAAAGGGGCAGAGAUGCAACUCGCGAUGCUGCCGAAAGCGUCAUUCAAGAUGCAAAAUGAUAGCUGAUUUGAGUCGUCUCACCUUUCGCACUCGAAAACAAAAACUGCUCUCGUCGUAGCAUGACGGCUUUAAAAAAAAAAAGGGGAGAAUUUUCCACCUGACUUCUUCACAGCUACCGGAUCCCUGCAGAUUUCCUGUUAGGGUCUUGUCAAGAUGAAGAGUGGAAGUGGCCUUUGUACGCGGCUCACCCGCAGCCGGCUUGCAGUCAUUACAGAGCGAGCGCUCUCGCAAUCUGAAAGCGUGGGAGCCUGCUAUGGAUGACGAGAGUCACACGGGCAAACAGGUGAACAGAAAAAGCGGUGGGCCGGAAGAGCCCGUCUAGGCAAUUUACAUACCACAGUGUAACCAACUAACACCAAAUAAUAUGCAGAGUGGGUGUGCAAGAAGUCUCAGGGUGAUGCAAUUAGCAUGCGCGGUGUAUCCGUUUAAACAGAGCGCCGUAUGUUACAGUCAGUAACGAUUUAAACUUAAAAUAAAACAUUGAGGCUUUCGUUUAAGAUUUUCAACAUUUCUCAAACCAGUAUGUCAUUAUGGAUUAAACCCCGAGCUUUGAAUUUAAUACACGGUACAGAUUAGUCCCUGCCGUACUAAAUUAAAUUAUGAGCCAAUGAUAAGUUCGGUGCCAAACAUCGUUUGGCAGCCUGCGAGUUUGGCUCCCCAUUGUUCAGCAGCAGAAUUAAGCAUUUGAGGCCAAGCACAGGGCCUUAUGGGAAAGAGGAGGGGAAGGGUUGAAGGCAAUGGGGGAGGGAGGCGGAAGGUGGGGGUUCUCAGCAGGGUGUUUCCCUAAGCUUCCCCUACCCUUAAGUACAGCCGCAGGGAAUCCAAUCACCUGCUGCUGAGACGAAAGACAGCCACACGUACUGAUAUCACAAAGAAACCAGAUCUAGAUGGAAGUCAUUAAUCAGGCUUUACACAAAGGCAGAAGCUCCUGGUCUCAGGACAAAAAUCCACACGUUUAACACUUCCAACCCAGCAUUUACCUGUUAGAGAGAGAGAGAGGGAGAGAGAGAUAGAGAGAGAGAUAGAGAGAAGCAUUGAAAAUGAACAGUGUAGCAGGAAAAAGGUGUGGCAUCCUCACCAACACCUGCGCUCUCUGUUGCUAGCAACCACAAGUCUGCUCUCUGCAAACCAACCGAGGCUUAAGGGGCUAAUUUUGGUCCCCAACUGAAAAGAACCUAAGAGACACUAUAUCUCUUCUCUUACACACCAAUUCAGUCUCCGGGAGAAAAAAAAAUCUUGAUUCUUGAAUCCCUUCUUCUCAAGAAAAUGAAAUGAAAAAACAAAAAGAAAUACAGAAUACAGAAAAGUAAAUGAAACGCUGCUCUAUUCCCUUUUGUAAUGGCCGUCCAUUCGAGUUAAUAUUUCCUUAAAUCUCUUCUGGCAGCCGUUACCAUCGGCGAUCCUCCGGGAUAAACCGCAAGGGUGCGCAAAAAAAAAAAAAAAUUCCCAGGCCAGUCGAGGCCCCUGUAACAAACGGCAUUACUGAGCUCUUGUCAUGGGUUCUCAAAGGGAUUAAGGUUUGGACUCUGACUGAAGCACUCAAGCCCAGUUUAUUUCUGCUGGCUCGGUGCUUCAGAGAGCUGCAGGCUUUUAUCAUCGACUUCACUGUAACGUGCAUCACUUCCAGUUCAAACUAACAAGCUUGCUCAUCCGUUGCUGCUGAAAUCUCCAUAGCGUGUGGUUUCGCAGUUGAUCUCGCAGUAGUUUCCCCUAGCUGUCUGGCACGAAACACGACAAAACUGCACCGGAGGAUGUUCAGGGGGCUUUGAAGUGGUUUUUCAGAACUUGGUUUUUGUUUAGAGAAACGUUCUUCUCUUUCCAUUUUGAAUUAGUGCCUAUAAACCAAGAAGCAAAUUCAGAACUGACCCUCGCAAAAUUCAAAGCAGGAAUUCCAGAGAGAUGAAAGCAAGGUUAUUGUGCGACGGCGUUACAAACGAAGCUUUAAACCGAUCGACAUGAUGGCGGCGUUUGUUCUCGCUCUGGUAGUGUUUUAUGUUUUUGUAGCGGUGCCAAAAAAUGCUAAUUACCCUACUUCAGAAUCUGAAUAAGAUUUCUUAGAGAGAGAGAGAGAGAGAGAGAGAGAGAGAGAGAGAGA